rnacentral:rRNA from 1 species
GCCGUGAGGUUGUAAAGUUCUUUUCGGGAGGAGGAAUAAGCGGGGCAGGAAAUGGCCUUGCGAUGACGUGAAUCCCGGAAUAAGCCCCGGCUAACUACGUGCCAGCAGCCGCGGUAACACGUAGGGGGCGAGCGUUGUUCGGAAUCAUUGGGCGUAAAGGGCGUGCAGGCGGCCCUGCAAGUCCGGCGUGAAAUGCCCCGGCUCAACCGGGGAGACGCGCUGGAAACUGCGGGGCUGGAGUACAGGAGGGGAUGCCGGAAUUCCAGGUGUAGGGGUGAAAUCUGUAGAUAUCUGGAGGAACACCAAUGGCGAAGGCAGGCAUCUGGCCAUGUACUGACGCUGAGACGCGAAGGUGCGGGGAGCAAACAGGUUUAGAUACCCUGGUAGUCCGCACAGUAAACGAUGUGCACCAGGUGGCGGGGGGUCGACCCCCGGUACCGAAGCUAACGCAUUAAGUGCACCGCCUGGGGAGUAUGCUCGCAAGGGUG